rnacentral:rRNA from 1 species
GGAGAAGCUACUAAGGGCUUAUGGUGAAUGCCUUGGCGCCAAGUGCCGACGAAGGACGUGGGACACUGCGAUAAGCCUCGGGAAGCCGUGUACAGGCGUUGAUCCGGGGAUCUCCGAAUAGGGAAACCAACUGUUGCGAACCAACGGUGUCCUCUUGUUGAACACAUAGACUUGAGGACGGGAACCUGGGGAACUGAAACAUCUAAGUACCCAGAGGAAAAGAAAAUAUUCCCCCAGUAGUGGCGAGCGAACGGGGAAGAGCCCAAACCGUCUCUGCUUGCAGAGGCGGGGUUGUAGGACCGGCACAUGGAAGUUAUAAAACAAUCAGUUAGCGGAAAGGUGUGGGAAAGCCUGCCAAAGAGGGUAACAGCCCCGUAUGCGAAAACUGGUUGUCUUCCGCCGUGUUCCUGAGUACUGCCGGGCACGCUAAUCCGGCAGGAAUCUAGGGAGUCCACUCUCUAAGGCUAAAUACACUUGGCGACCGAUAGUGAACUAGUACCGUGAGGGAAAGGUGAAAAGUCCCCCCGUUAGGGGAGUGAAAUAGAACCUGAAACCAUAAGCUUACAAGCAGUUGGAGGGCUAACGGCAGGUUGAGCGCUGUAGAAAUACAGAUGUUCCCUGCUAUGCCUGACAGCGUGCCUCUUGGAGAAUGAGCCUGCGAGUUAAUCUCAGUGGCGAGGUUAAGGGAGUGACACCCGAAGCCGUAGCGAAAGCGAGUCUGAAUAGGGCGUAUAGUCGCUGGGAUUAGGCCCGAAACCGGGUGAGCUACCCAUGGGCAGGGUGAAGCGAGUCUAAUCACUCGUGGAGGCCCGAACCCACUAACGUUGCAAAGUUAGGGGAUGACCUGUGGGUAGAGGUGAUAUGCCAAACGAACUCGGAGAUAGCUGGUUCUCCCCGAAAUAGCUUUAGGGCUAGCGUCAUGCGUUUAGUACUGGAGGUACAGCACUGAAUGGGCUAAGGGGCUUACAGCUUACUGAACCCAAUCAAACUCGGAAUGCCAGUACUCCAUAGCAUGGCAGUCGGACUCCGGGAGAUGAGUUUCGGGGUCGAAAGGGAAACAGCCCAGAUCAUCGGCUAAGGUCCUUAAAUCUAUGCUAAGUGGUGAACGAGGUGAGGUUACUUGAACAACCAGGAGGUUGGCUUAGAAGCAGCCACCCUUUAAAAAGUGCGUAACAGCUUACUGGUCUAGUGACUUUGCGCGGAAAACUUAACGGGGCUAAGCAUAGUACCGAAGCCAUGAGUCUCAGCAUUUGCUGGGGCAGUAGGGGAGCGUUCUGUCAGCGGUGAAGGCCGAUCGUAAGGGCGGCUGGAGCGGACAGAAGUGAGAAUGCAGGCAUGAGUAGCGUACAAACACGUGAGAACCGUGUUCGCCGUAAAUCUAAGGUUUCCGACGCCAGGUCAUUCCGCGUCGGGUUAGUCGAGUCCUUAGCCGAGGCCGAGAGGCGUAGGCGAUGGAUAUCCGGUCAACAUUCCGGAACCGCUAGAAAGUGCGAUGGGAGGACGCAACGAGGUAGGCCAGCCCAUUAUUGGAUUUGGGUGCGAUCCAUCUAGGCGUUGAGACCGGCAGGGAAAUCCGCUGGUUGAGCCGAGGUGGGAGCGAGUCGUAAGACGAAGUGGUUGAGCCUUGUUGCCGAGAAAAGUCUCUAAGCAUAACUUUCCAGCGCUCGUACCGCAAACCGACACUGGUAGAUGGGUAGAAUAUACCAAGGCGAACGGGAGAACCCUCGUUAAGGAAUUAGGCAACAUGACCCCGUAACUUCGGGAGAAGGGGUACCCCCUGGGGUGUCAAAGCCCCGGAGGGUCGCAGUGAAAUGGCUCUGGUGACUGGUUAACAAAACCACAGGUCUCUGCUAAGCCGUAAGGCGAUGUAUAGGGGCUGACGCGUGCCCAGUGCCGGAAGGUUAAGGAGAGAGGUUAGCGCAAGCGAAGCUUUGAACCGAAGCCCCGGUGAACGGCGGCCGUAACUAUAACGGUCCUAAGGUUAACAUUUUGCUAGCCUUAGUAAAAUCGAACCAUAUGCGGGAAAGUCCUCAACAGCCAGGUGGUACUCGCCGUGGAAAGAACAUACGGCAGUAAAAAUCCACUGGACACGGGGAUAAUCCGCAGGGAAGGCUUCCAUGAUAGACGAUGAAAUGUUGGAAGAACCCUCAGAGACUUCACGUUCGAUCUCGAACUCUUCGAGAUUGGAAGCGCAAUGGGUUGCAGGGUUUGUAGAUGGAGAAGGUUGUUUUUAUGUCGGCAUCAAUCCCCAGCCGGAAAUGAAAACGGGGUAUCAGGUUUUACCUGAGUUCACAGUAGUACAGCAUGAGAGAGAUAUACAACUGCUGUACGCCCUGAAACAAUUCUUUGGCUGUGGCGUGGUGCGACAGAAUCACGGUGACCGAAUGGCUUACCGUGUGCGAGGUGUUGAACACCUUGCGGAACGGAUCAUUCCGUUCUUUGAAAAACAUCCUUUGAAAUCGAAAAAACAUCUCGACUUUUUAAAGUUUAGAAAAGUCCUGAUGAUGAUGCAAAGAAAUGAGCAUCUGACCCCUGAAGGGAUCGAGAAGAUCCGCCAAAUCGCUUCUGAAAUGAAUAGAGGACGAGAAAGAUAAAGUCCGGCUUCUCUGGAAACAGAGUGAGAUAAUCCGAGCGAAAUUCCUUGUCGGGUAAGUAACAUUGCCCAUGCUGGCUAAUAACGGUGAAACCCAAUCUCGUUGCGACGUACAAGGCGUCGUGCAAAAGAGAGGGUAAUACCGUGGGAAGUCAUUCUGAGUGUAAAACGAAGGAUUGACCCCGUAACGACUGAUCCCUGAAAAGGGUGAGAUAGCGAUUUCUGCGAAAGCAAAUUUACAUCGUUAUCAUACGCCGGCGGUUUCCGAAAGGAAAUCAAGAUAUAGUCUGCGCUCGCAGGAAUGCGAGAAUAUAGCGAAGUUCCGACCCGCACGAACCGCGUAACAAUUAGAGCACUGUCUCGACGAGGGACCCGGUGAAAUUGAAAUGGCUGUGAAGAUGCGGCCUACCCGCAGCAGGACAAAAAGACCCCGUGGAGCUUUACUGCAACUUGGCAUUGUAUUUGGACAUGAUCUGUGUAGGAUAGGUGGGAGGCUUUGAAGCUGGCGCGCUAGCGUCGGUGGAGCCAUCAGUGAAAUACCACCCUGAUUAUGUUUAGAUCCUAACCCCAUUCCGUCAACCGGAUGGGGGACCGUGCCAGGUGGGCAGUUUGACUGGGGCGGUCGCCUCCCAAAAGGUAACGGAGGCGCCCAAAGGUUCCCUCAGGUGGAAUGGAAACCCACCACAGAGUGUAAAGGCAUAAGGGAGCUUGACUGUAAGGCCAACGCGCCGAACAGAGUCGAAAGACGGGCUUAGUGAUCCCACGGUACCGAGUGGAAGGGCCGUGGCUUACCGGAUAAAAGCUACCCCGGGGAUAACAGGCUGGUGAGAUCCAAGAGUUCACAUCGACGAUCUCGCUCGGCACCUCGAUGUCGGCUCAUCGCAUCCUGGGGCUGGACAAGGUCCCAAGGGUCGGGCUGUUCGCCCGUUAAAGCGGUACGCGAGCUGGGUUCAGACCGUCGUGAGACAGGUCGGUCUCUAUCCGCUGUGGGCGUAAGGGAUUUGAAGGGAGCUGCUCCUAGUACGAGAGGACCGGAGUGGACAGACCUCUAGUGUGCCAGUUGUUCCGCCAGGAGCAUCGCUGGGUAGCCAUGUCUGGCAGAGAUAACCGCUGAAAGCAUCUAAGUGGGAAACUCGCCCUAAGAUUAGAUCCCUGUAUUCCCGUAAGGGAGUAAGACCCCAGGUAGACUACCUGGUAUAUAGGCAGUGUGUGUAAGCACAGUAAUGUGUUCAGCUAAACUGUACUAAUGGUCGAGGGCUUCCUC